rnacentral:tRNA from 1 species
ACUAAGGUGGCAGAAUAGUGCUUUAGAUUUAAGCUCUAAAUAUGAAUAAUUUUAUUUUCUUAGUA